GCACUGCUGAGCAGCUCCAAAAUAGGGCGAAACGGCCGUCCAGUGC
rnacentral:hammerhead_ribozyme from 1 species